CACCUGAACCACUGGAGGCCCCAGGGCCUGUGCAUUGGGCCAAGGAUUUCUGCAUGUUUCCUGUUGCUCUCACAGUAUCCCUAAGGGGAUCCGCUGGUGCCAUUCUCCUGGUGUGAGGAGCCUUCACAGGCCCAAUGAUUUGCUGCUAGAAUUUUCUUUCUGCAUCAUCAUAUUAGAACUUGGCAAACUAGGUCUUGUGCAGGAGGAAGUGUGUGGCUAUUUUCCUGACACUGGUCAAGGACACAGUGACCAAAGAGGGCUUGGUGGUGCUGGAAAACUGAGGAAAGAUCAUGAGAGGAUACUGUCAACCUUCAAAUUGCUCGAAGUGGGGGACGAUUAUGCUAAUCCUGGGUUGUUACAAAAUAAAAGUUUCUCUGAUGAAUGCUUGGACUUCAAGAAAAAGAAGUAAAACUGGCACUGUUUGA